AACGAACGCUGGCGGCAGGCCUAACACAUGCAAGUCGAGCGGACAUCUUCGGAUGUUAGCGGCGGACGGGUGAGUAACGCGUGGGAACGUGCCCUUUGCUUCGGAAUAGCCUCGGGAAACUGGGAGUAAUACCGGAUGUACCCUUUUGGGGAAAGAUUUAUCGGCAAAGGAUCGGCCCGCGUUGGAUUAGGUAGUUGGUGGGGUAAUGGCCUACCAAGCCGACGAUCCAUAGCUGGUUUGAGAGGAUGAUCAGCCACACUGGGACUGAGACACGGCCCAGACUCCUACGGGAGGCAGCAGUGGGGAAUCUUAGACAAUGGGGGAAAACCUGAUCUAGCCAUGCCGCGUGAGCGAUGAAGGCCUUAGGGUUGUAAAGCUCUUUCACCGGGGAAGAUAAUGACGGUACCCGGAGAAGAAGCCCCGGCUAACUCCGUG
rnacentral:rRNA from 1 species